AUUACCUACGGGAGGCAGCAGUAGGGAAUCUUCCACAAUGGGCGCAAGCCUGAUGGAGCAACACCGCGUGAGUGAAGAAGGGUUUCGGCUCGUAAAGCUCUGUUGUUGGAGAAGAACGUGCGUGAGAGAAACUGUUCACGCAGUGACGGUAUCCAACCAGAAAGUCACGGCUGACUACGUGCCAGCAGCCGCGGUAAUACGUAGGGGGCAAGCGUUAUCCGGAUUUAUUGGGCGUAAAGGGAACGCAGGCGGUCUUUUAAG
rnacentral:rRNA from 1 species